UGCAAGUAGAUGGUCGAUUUAUCAACCGAGUUCAUUAUAAUGCCAACAUCUUUCCCACAAUCAUUGGUAUAAUUUAGAAUAGUUGACCGCAAACAUGUAUGUCUCAUGAUAUGGGUCAAUUGUUCAACUUGAUACAUCAGUUAAAUACAUAUGCAAACUUUAUUUCGUACAUAUAUAGUUAUAUAUGAUCUCCCUUUCGUCGUCCACCUUAUGUCAUUGGCAGCUUGUUUGAUGAUUCUGAAACAAUGAAAUGGAUAUUAUAGCCCAUUGUUCAAACUGAUCAUGCUAAAUAUACAUCGUGCUAUAUCUUUCAUGUAUAAGACAAACAUGGAUAGAUGACUAGAUGAGUGUAGUAAGAGAGAGGAUUAAUUACUCACUUGAGCACAUGCUUCCAUUGGGGCUGGAUAUCUUGCAGCAAGAUGCAACAUAGCAGAACUUAGACGUGUUAAUUAAGGUUUUGACGUAUUUGGAGUGUAGAAACAAGGAAACACAUAACCCGUUUGCUUUUUUCAUCGCUAAGCAGCAGCCCUUUGAUGGUCUACACCGAGGUCCUUCUUUGACCACGUAUUUGGAGCACUCCAAAGCAAUACCUACAAAGUGCUUACAGCAUGUAGAAGCUUGGGUUGGCAUGCCAAGGAGCAGUAGAGCGCCGAAGAUCAAUAGCAAGAAGCUCAACACCAUGCGUCGAGAACUCAGAACAGCCAUCUUUUUCUUACCUUGGCACUCAAUUUAGAGCGCAUAUCCUCUAUAUGAGAUUUAUAAACAAUAAGACUGGCAGGCAUCGAAUUAUGUUCGCCUACUAUGUUCAUGAGUUUUGUGUGAUUGGUUCGCAUGUUCCACAAGAGAUGUGUGACGACUCUUCUUUCGUCACUUGUUGUCUAUUCUUUCAAAGGAGAGGUUUAAAGACGAGCCAAAAAA
rnacentral:lncRNA from 1 species